rnacentral:rRNA from 1 species
GAUGAACGCUGGCGGCGUGCUUAACACAUGCAAGUCGAACGGAAAGGCUCCUGCUUGCAGGGGUACUCGAGUGGCGAACGGGUGAGUAACGCGUGGGUGAUCUGCCCUGCACUUCGGGAUAAGCCUGGGAAACUGGGUCUAAUACCGGAUAGGACCACAUUUUGGAUGGUGUGGUGGAAAGUUUUUCGGUGUGGGAUGAGCUCGCGGCCUAUCAGCUUGUUGGUGGGGUAAUGGCCUACCAAGGCGUCGACGGGUAGCCGGCCUGAGAGGGUGUACGGCCACAUUGGGACUGAGAUACGGCCCAGACUCCUACGGGAGGCAGCAGUGGGGAAUAUUGCACAAUGGGCGCAAGCCUGAUGCAGCGACGCCGCGUGGGGGAUGACGGCCUUCGGGUUGUAAACUCCUUUCGCUAGAGACGAAGCGCAAGUGACGGUACCUGGAGAAGAAGCACCGGCUAACUACGUG